CCUACGGGUGGCUGCAGUGAGGAAUAUUGGUCAAUGGGCGAGAGCCUGAACCAGCCAAGUAGCGUGAAGGAUGACUGCCCUAUGGGUUGUAAACUUCUUUUAUAUGGGAAUAAAAUGUUCCACGUGUGGGAUUUCGUAUGUACCAUAUGAAUAAGGAUCGGCUAACUCCGUGCCAGCAGCCGCGGUAAUACGGAGGAUCCGAGCGUUAUCCGGAUUUAUUGGGUUUAAAGGGAGCGUAGGUGGAUUGUUAAGUCAGUUGUGAAAGUUUGCGGCUCAACCGUUAAAUUGCAGUUGAAACUGGCAGUCUUGAGUACAGUAGAGGUGGGCGGAAUUCGUGGUGUAGCGGUGAAAUGCUUAGAUAUCACGAAGAACUCCGAUUGCGAAGGCAGCUCACUGGACUGCAACUGACACUGAGGCUCGAAAGUGUGGGUAUCAAACAGGAUUAGAUACCCCAGUAGUC
rnacentral:rRNA from 1 species